rnacentral:ribozyme from 1 species
GGGCAUAUAUCCAAGCAAUAAAGCUAUGCGGCCUUUGGUGCAACUUUUUCUCUGCUUCCUACUAAAAGCAGCGUCAGGCAUUGACACAGACAAACU